CCAGCACAGGGACAGUCUUAAUCACCGUAAUACCAGGGUGGCCACCAUCACACGUCCCACGACAACAGGGCCCUCAUUGCACAUCACCAAGUGACCCAGCUCCAGAAUGCCCUCCUGUAGUGGCGUUCUCAGGGCUGCGACUCUCUUAGCUUAAGAUCCCCCCAAAGUAGAACCCGAUGCCAAGGCUUGUGUACAGGGAGUUUAUUUUGGAAGUCAUUCUAGGGACCAGAAAUGAGGGACGAACAGGAGUGGGAAACAAGAGAGAGCAGAAGAGCCAAGAUAACGGUGCAUUAUUAGGUCACUGCCGUGGGUGGCUGGGGCUCAGCCCUGCCAGGACCUUCCAAGCAGUGCACAGAGGGACCUUAUGGGUCAGAUGACGGCCUGGCAGAAGCAUUCACCUGGUGGCGCCUGUGCACCCCAGAUUGAGGCUGGCUCAGUGGAAGCAACUUCCCUCCACAAGUCCUCCGGCUGAGCCCGCUUCUGCCAACCUUGUGUUGGGGCGCUGCGGAAGCCCCUGGGCAGAAAAUGAAAACUGCCUCAUGCUGACAGGAGGCGAGGUGCUGGUGGUGCAAAGGGAGCUGAAGCCCGCCCGGAACUGCUUGCCACAGCAUGGCUGGAAAUAGAGUUGUAGCCGUGCACGCGGCAGGCGGCGUUCAGAAGGAAUCUGGUGCAUUCUCUCGUAGUUAUGAAAACAGGCUCUGGAGCCAGGCUGUCUUGAUUCCAAUCCUUCUGCUGUGCUUCCUUUCCUUCCACUUACAGAAGGGGGAAUACUAAGAAGAAAGUACUUUAUAGGGUUGUUAUGAAGUAAAUGAGAAAAUUCAUGCAAGAUGCUUGUAAUAGUGCCUGGCACAUAAUAAAUACUCAAUUAAGAGGGGCUUCUAAUAUCCCCAUUUUACAGUUGAGGAAACUAAGAUACAUAUUUUUUGAGGGAUGAGGAGAAAGGGGACAAAGAAAGGGAGGGAAGGAUUUUGAGUAGAUCCCGCUCAAACCUCCAGAGAAGCGGAGGCCCUGGCUCUCUCAGCGUUUCUAUGUCCUCUUCCCCUAUCACAGGAGAGGCCUAAGGAUGGGCAGCAAAGGCUUUCUUCCCCAAACAGGCAUUCAAGCUUCCUCUGCUCCAGCUACAGGGUCCGUGGGUUCCUUGUGAUGUCACAGCUGGUUGCUAUGGAGACCAGGUUGCUGUGAAUGUCAGUCCGAGGCCCAUUAGGAGCACAGUGAACAGCAGCCCAGGCGAGCCCAGGGAGGCAAGAAAAUGAGGCUCCCCGUGAGGUCUAAUAAACACCUCUCGCCACACCCCAAACACAUAGACACGCAAUAGAGCCCAUAGGUCCUGAGUGAGUCCCCCUGGCCCACCCCAUUCAGCUGAGAUCUGACAACAUAUGUUUGGGGACAAACAGCCCCAGCAGCCAGGAGCAGGCCACAUCAUACAUAGUCAGCAUCAGCCAUGGUCCCCUCCCACUCUCCUGGGGGAAAAAGGUGCUUUACAGGCAGCGUGGCAUCCGAGCAUCCCCAUGGCGAUGCUGAGGUCAGACCUCACUGUGGUGAUCUCACGCUGGGGCCACCGGACUCAGGCCAGGCUGGGAGUAGGCUGUCUAGCCAUUGCUGGCUGUCAUUGUCACCAAGGGAAGGGGAGAAGCUGUGAAGAGUUGCUCUGGAAAAAACAAAUCUGCUCAUAGGACAAUGGGUCUGGGUGAACCUAUCCCGGCCCUCUUGGCUGCUGGGCCAGGGCCUGGUUUUUCACAGGGCACCAUUGAGACCACAGGAAGUGGCUUCCUGCCUCUGAAGACAGCACACAACUGCCCUAGAAAGCGCUCUUGUCACCCCUGCUGCUGGAGUGCAAUUGCACAAUCUCGGCUCAUUGCAAGCUCCGCCUCCCAGGUUCAAGUGAUUCUCCUGCCUCAGCCUCCCUAGUUGCUAAGACUACAGGUGCGUGUCCACUAUAUCUGGCUAAUUUUUUCAUUUGUUUUUUGUUUUUUGAGACAGAGUUUCACUCUUGUCACCCAGGCUGGAGUGCAGUGGUGCAAUCUCGGCUCCCUGCAAUCUCCGUCUCCCAGGUUCGAGCUAUUCUCCUGCCUCAGCCUCCCGAGUAGCUAGGAUUACAGGCGCCCACCACCACACCAUGCUAAUUUUGUAUUUUUAGUAGAGAUGGGGUUUCACCAUGUUGGCCAGGCUGGUGUCAAACUCCUGACCUCAAGUGAUCUGCCCGCCUCGGCCUCCAAAAGUGCUGGGAUUACAGGCGUGAGCCACCGCGUCCCGCCUGGACUUUCUUAAGAAACAGUUACUCCCAACCUACAGCUUGACCUCAUAGCUGGGCCCUUCAUCCUGCUGAUGGGCAGUGUAGGGAGACAGGAAACACAGAGGCGUCUGGGAGGCAAACCUCAUUGCCACCCCUUUCUAGAGACGUGGCCUUGGGCAAGUCACGUCCCCUCUCUGAGACUCUUGUUUUCUCAGGGUCAUUGUGAGGAUUAGAUGGCCCCGUAAGUGUUCACCCCUUUCUUCCCAAUCCUGCAUCUGGACCCCAGAUGCCACCUCCCACGUCAGAGGCCCUGCAUCCAUGCUCUGCAUCUCUGGCUGCCCUCACCACACAUGUGUUGCUCUGCCCAGGCCCCUCAAGGCUGGUGGUGUUCUUACACCUUGCUUUUGCUGACUCAGUGGAUGUGUCUAGGUACCACCAGUCCCGACCCCGUUCUGUAGGUCUCUUCUAGAAAGGAGAGCCACCAAGAGCCUAUGCCCUGCUCUGUGUUAGGAUCUGUGUCAGACAUUUCACACCCAUUAUUCUAAUGAACUCUCACCCCAAGCCCAGCACAGAGUGAUCACUAGUCCCAUUUUAGGGAUGAAAAAAUUGAGACAGAAGUAAAAUGACCUGCCGGGCGCGGUGGUUCAUGCCUGUAAUCCAAGCAUUUU
rnacentral:lncRNA from 1 species